GAUGAACGCUGGCGGCGUGCCUAACACAUGUAAGUCGAACGAAGCUUGACGGAUGAUUUCUUCGGAAUGAAACCAGAUAUGACUUAGUGGCGGACGGGUGAGUAACACGUGAGCAACCUGCCUUUCAGAGGGGGAUAACGGCUGGAAACGGUCGCUAAUACCGCAUGAUGUGUUCGGAUGGCAUCAUCUGAACAUCAAAGAUUUAUCGCUGAAAGAUGGGCUCGCGUCUGAUUAGAUAGUUGGUGGGGUAACGGCCUACCAAGUCUACGAUCAGUAGCCGGACUGAGAGGUUGAACGGCCACAUUGGGACUGAGAUACGGCCCAGACUCCUACGGGAGGCAGCAGUGGGGAAUAUUGCACAAUGGGGGAAACCCUGAUGCAGCAACGCCGCGUGAAGGAUGACGGUUUUCGGAUUGUAAACCUCUUUUCUUAGUGACGAAGACAGUGACGGUAGCUAAGGAAUAAGCAUCGGCUAACUACGUG
rnacentral:rRNA from 1 species